GACGAACGCUGGCGGCGUGCUUAACACAUGCAAGUCGAACGAAGUGGCGAACGGGUGAGUAACGCGUAAUCAACCUGCCCUUCAGAGGGGGACAACAGUUGGAAACGACUGCUAAUCCCGCAUACUGAAGGAGGGGAUUGCGUCUGAUUAGCUAGUUGGAGGGGUAACGGCCCAACAAGGCGAUGAUCAGUCGCCGGUCUGAGAGGAGUGAAGGCCACAUUGGGACUGAGGAACGGCCCAGACUCCGACGGGAGGCAGCAGGGGGGAAGCUUCCGAAAUGGAGGAAAGUCUGACGGAGCAACGCCGCGGGAGUGAUGACGGCCUUCGGGUUGGAAAGCUCUGUUAAUCGGGACGCGGUACCGGAAUAGAAAGCCACGGCUAACUACGUGCCAGCAGCCGCGGUAAUUC
rnacentral:rRNA from 1 species